AGAUGUUAAAAGCAAGAGACAUGGGAGAGCAUCAUUCCUUUGAGAUUUUAUAACUCAAACCAACUUUGGAGUUGUCUGAUUUGGAGAGUCAUUAUUCUUGGACUUCGCUCUUAGAGGCCACUGAUGAAGAGCAGGGGGUGACUGGAUGAAUGCUGGUCAGAGAGGAGAAUCUUCUUUCCCCUAAACAGCAGUGGUUUUAAAGGAGGACGCUGCCCUGGAUGAUGUAGAAGAUGUCAGAUGCUGUGCAGAUGGGGUUUCUUCAUGAUUACUUCAGUUAUGCUAAAGAGAUCAUGAAAAUUGACUGUGAUGCAUGAUCUGUAUUCAUGGACUAUGAAACAAACUGUAAGUGUAUAAUUUGUUAAAAAAAAAAAAGUUAAAUGCUUUUUCUGUGUUGUUUAGUAGAAGAGUUUACACUGUCAUUCAUACACCUGCUCACAUUCUUUCACACACACACAUGCGUCUGUUAAAUGUUAUAAUAUCAAAGUUAAUGUUGCGAUUUAUUUGUGUACUGUCAUGCCAGAAUAGUUGGAAAAAAACCUAACUAAUUGUAAAUUUAUUGUAUGUGUUUUCGUAUAUUUUUAUACAAUAUAUACAAUUGAACAAAGUCCAAUUUGAUCUUAAGUUAUAUUCAUCAAAUGUUCAAUGCUUUGUUUAUGAAUUAUGUAGCUGUUAAUGCCAUCCUUUUCUGCAUUUCUUCUAACAUGUUACUUUUUGACUUUUCUCUUGUUUUUAAUAAAUAUUUUCCUUUUGGUAAUUAUUAUUUGUGUGUAAAAGUGAUAUUUAAAAUGAACAACAUUUGUAGGUUUAAUGCCUAGCUCAAUUUGGGUUAAUUUUAACGUAGAAAUGCAUUGUUUCCCCAUAUGGCUGCACUCUGCGAGUUUAUUUUCUGCCAGCAGGAGGCGCUAAGAGCGGGAGAGGUAGGUUUCUCCGGUAACGGCUGCAGAGCGGUGCUGAGCUCACAAACGCUGCCUCAUCAAGCACAUGCGAAAUGAUAUCGAACAUUUUCUAAAUACAGUAGUUUUCCUUCUGAAAUACAGUGAUAAAAAAACACCCGCUCUGUUUUUUUAAACCCUGCAAUAUAGUCAUUUUAAACUAUAAAAAAGGCAACCCAGCAGGCUGGGUUAAAUAUGAUAACCCAACUGGUUGGGUUAAAACAACCCAGCGCUGGGUUCGUCCCUUUUUGACCCAGCGCUGGGUUGUCAAAAUAACCCAAAUUGGGUUGUUUUCAACCCAGCAGUUUUUAGAGUGUAGGUGCAUAAUUUAAUGUCAUCAAAAACUCUACCACAAAACCUGUUAACUGCUUCUUUUUAUCUUUCUUUUCCAUUUUUCCUGUGCUCUAAAGAAAAUGGCCAGCCCGGGAAUUUGAAGCUAAAGUGAGUUGACAUUUAGUGCACUACUUGGUGGGUUUUUAAACAGCAGGACAUAAAUUCCACACUUUUAGUCCUUUCACAGAGCUUUAAAAUUCCAGACAUUUAAUAUUACAGUUUCUUUCGUAAAAAAAUAACUGUUGCAGUCAAUGAACGUGGCCUUCCCAAACUCUACAGGCCUCCAUUCUAAUCUACUGAAGCCUUGGGUGUCACAUGAGGAGAAGGUGUCACAUGGACAGGACAAGGCAAUUGCACAAACACUUUGGGGUUUAGGAUUGAAAACUGUCAGCUGAAUGGUGAACAAUCAGUAUCUCUGAAACUUUCCAAGUCGAAAUAAAAGUUACUAGGCUUAGCAGGCUUAUAAAGAAAUUCAAAGGAACGAUUUGAUGAUGGAGCCAAAAACGUUCAACUUUCAUCUUAAGUUUUUGAAAGUUUGCAUAAGUUCCAGCAACUGCAGAUAGACACACUCAAUUUCUGUAGACUAUUCUUAAGAUAAUCUUCUCACAGAGGAAGAAAUUCCGUGGCUGUUCCACGGGCAAGAAGGAAUUGCGUUUUCCUUUAGCAAGAUAAGAGCACAUUUCCUCUGCAUCAGUUCUCACUCUAUUUAUAAAGUGCAUGCUAUGACAUUAUCUUUUUAUCAAAACAACCCAGAACAUACUCGAAGCAAGAACAUGAAAACAAAUGCGUUGAGUUCCAAAAUAUGUCAGAAUCCAUUUCGAUUGACAACAUCACCAUAAAGGGGCACUAUAGUUGGUAUAACUGCUCAGUUUGCUUGUUUAGUUAUUUUCGAUGACAUCAUGACAGUCGUCUCAUUGAAUUCUAAUGCAAAAAUACACGUUAAGUAUUUUUU